GUUUCUUUGUUUUUGUUUCUGUUUUUUGGUACCGAGGAUUGAACUCAGGACCCUGUACUUGUGAGGCAGGUGGCGGUGCCACUGAGCUAAAUCCCUGGCCCUGUCCUGUGUCUUUGAAAGAGAGGUCAUGUGACAGAUUCUGGAGUUUCAUCACUCACCAUUACUCACCUGGCUCCAGUGUCUACCCCGACUGAAUUGUUACUCAAAAUUGUCACCAGAUGGGGCCCAAGGAGGAGAUGCAGAUCUCAACUCACCUACCCUCAGAGUAGGUUCUUGACUUGUCAUGGAAAAGCAUUUUGGGGUGCAUCGGUGAGCAGCACUCGAGAAGUGUGCACUCAGAAGGGAGUGCGGGUGCUUGAGGGGUGGUGGGGCAGAUUAUGCUCUGGGGCUGGGGUAUGUAUGUGUUUUUGAGGGUAUCCUUAAGAUGAAUGAUCUAGCAUGUGUAUUCCUAGUGUCGUUACUCUUCAGGGGGCUAGGUUUGCACCUUGCCUUUGAAGUUUAAAAAUACAGUAGUGCCCAGUUAAUAUGCUAUUUCCUUGAGGGUGAAAGUAGUGGGAUUUGUAAAUGUAUAGCAGCAAAAGAAAAGCAUGGGCCCAAUUUACAGGAGACACAGGCCUAGUUUAUAGGCUUGCUGUAUCUUUUUAUCAUUGUUUGUUUUGGAGUGGG
rnacentral:lncRNA from 1 species